GUCCAGACUCCUACGGGAGGCAGCAGUGGGGGAUAUUGCACAAUGGGGGAAACCCUGAUGCAGCGACGCCGCGUGUGGGAAGACGGUCCUCUGGAUUGUAAACCACUGUCCCCAGGGACGAAGAUGACGGUACCUGGGGAGGAAGCUCCGGCUAACUACGUGCCAGCAGCCGCGGUAAUACGUAGGGAGCAAGCGUUGUCCGGAAUUACUGGGUGUAAAGGGAGCGUAGGCGGGAUGGCAAGUUGGGUGUUAAAUCUACCGGCUCAACUGGUAGUCGCACUCAAAACUGCUAUUCUUGAGUGAAGUAGAGGCAGGCGGAAUUCCUAGUGUAGCGGUGAAAUGCGUAGAUAUCAGGAGGAACACCGGUGGCGAAGGCGGCCUGCUGGACUGCAACUGACGUUGAGGCCCGAAAGCGUGGGGAGCAAACAGGAUUAGAUACCCGUGUA
rnacentral:rRNA from 1 species